UACGUAGGGUGCAAGCGUUGUCCGGAAUUAUUGGGCGUAAAGAGCGUGUAGGCGGCCAUACAGGUCAGCUGUGAAAACUCGAGGCUCAACCUCGAGACGUCGGUUGAAACCGUAUGGCUAGAGUCCGGAAGAGGAGAGUGGAAUUCCCGGUGUAGCGGUGAAAUGCGCAGAUAUCGGGAAGAACACCCGUGGCGAAGGCGGCUCUCUGGGACGGUACUGGACGCUGAGACGCGAAAGCGUGGGGAGCGAACAGG
rnacentral:rRNA from 1 species